AGUUGAAAUUAUAGGGACUUCAGUGUACAUUUUAAACACUAGAAAAUGGAAGACUGCAGUUCUUUUGCAUACUCUGAAGUCAGUUCUAUGACAGCUGUGAGGCAGUUAUUAAAAAUGGCAGGAGUUAAUCCAAAAAUGAAGGACUAAUCUACAAAUUGUGGCCCUUAGCUUACUGAGCUGCUCCAUGGAGUGUUAUUCUCAAUAUAGCUGCCCAAAAUUUGAACUCUGCCGCUCCAAAAAUGUCCUUUUCCACCCGUUUAACCUGCAGCAAAUUUGAGAUGUCCUGCUCCCAAUUAAAGAUUUUCCUGCUCCAGAAGUUGCGCCAAAAGCUGUUCUCGCAAUCCCACCCUGUACAUAAUGCCACCUAUCUUGAGAUUAUGGGUGAACUUGUGAACAUAACAAACCACUGCAAGUCUUGUGGUUCUUGUAGUUGCUCUUUUGCUUGUUGCUUGUGUCUUUUAAAAGUGAAGGUGUUUCAGCUAUUUCAAGGCUUUUUGACAUAAAAUAUUUCUUGGUCAUUUUUAACUGAGAAGGCUCCCCGAAGCACUGUUCUAACAGUUGAACCAUAUUUAGAAACCACAGCAAGGGCUCUCAUUUACACAUAAACUUCCACUGCGUAACACCCUGCAGAUUUUAGAUUUAAAGUUAACUUUUUUAGCACAUACAUAAACCUCGACAUAAUGGAGUCCGUAAAAUCGGCACAUUAUAUAUUGAAGUUUCGUACUGAAACGCGACAUUUUAUGCAAGUAAGUAUACAGUUGCCAGCGAAUCUUUCUUUCAAGAAGGGGGUCGUAAAAUGUUCAAAAUUAUUGGGCAAUUGGGAGAAACUAAUUUCAGUAAGAAAAGAAAUUGUCAUUUUGCUGAAUGUGGGAUUCGGUGAUCAAAGAUACGGCGUUAUGCCGUGUCGAUGAUAUUUCCACGUCGGCAGUACGAAGCGAAGCGUGCAAAGCUUUCGCAUCCACUCAAUCACCACGGUUGAUAGUGUAGCCCACAGUGGGAUGACGCUAUUAUGAAGAGCGGAAGCAAAGAGAAGCUAACACUUUGUCUGCCUCUCACUUCAAUGCGUCUACGAAACUUGAGGUUACACGACAUCCAGCACUAAACGCCUAAAAAGACAGCGCACAUGAAGCCUCGGCUUGGCAAGCCUUUCCACCUGGCAUAGAUAAUCUCCAAGAUAAUGCGCACGGGCCACAUAUGCCUUCAGUCAUGCUGACAACCACAUGCACCCACAACCGUGCUCGAAGAGGCAUCAAGCCACCAUCCUUCUUGGCUCACCCUCGCACCCACAGCAUACGUCGUGUGAGGCAUAGUAGGACUUGGUGCUAAGACCGGAUGUUUAGGCAUUAAAAAAUGCUGUUUUAGAUGCCUGUGAAAGGCACUAAAGCCGUUAUUUAAAGGGACACUAUAAGCAAAUACUAAGUCAAGCUAAAGUGAUAGUGCUCGAGAAUCUCUAAGGCGCCAAUGUUAUCGCGAACAGAGCCUUAAUAAUAGAGAAAUCGAGCUAAAUGCAGGACAUGAUUAGAGACUCCCCCGGGACAUUCAAGCACUUGCCUGAUGAUGAAAGCACUCCUCAGUUAAAUUCUGUCACUAGUACUCAACUACUCCUUGCAAAAAACAUCCUCGCAUUGUAUUAUAAUAUGAAAUAAAAUGCUAGUUGUCCACUUCCAUUUCAUGUUUAGAAAAAACACAUUGAAAUUACCAUUGACAAUGAUGUGGGCGGUCGAAAGAUUUUGUUUUUGCUCGCUUCUGCACCGCCCACGCUUUCGCGUUUCAGUACUUUCCUGAUCGCGUAGUGCUGCGCAGGUUUUGCUGGCUCACGAAACUUGUUCAAACUACAAGUAGCAGAGAAUUCAACUUCUAUGUGAUGUCGCGGGAUGCCUGAGUGGUCUACGCCACUUGACCAAAAAGCAGCUGCAGCGGUGAUUCCGCCGCUCUUUCUUGGCUCGGUGCUGCCGUCUCUCGGGUGCCGUUUUAUUCACCGAUGGCAGCAAAGGGCGGUGAUGACGUAUGCAACGUCACCACUCUCCGGUUGGGUGGCGGGAGAUUUUAAUUUCGAAAAAGGCAUUCAGACCCUUCAAAUAAAAUUUGCUCGUAAACUAAGUCUUUUCUUGGCGUGAAACAGCCGUUGCAAGGUUUCUGGAAAGGUAAUUAAACAGUCCAGGUCGCAUUAAUAUUUGCCUUUAGUGUCCCUUUAAAGCAUAUAUAGGUACCAUAUAAUAUCUUUGAGUCAUCUAUAGGCUUAGUUAAAGGAACUCUAGCUGUGCAACUGAGGAUAAAUUCUUCGGAGCACAGUCUACAAAACCCUUGUUUUCUGAAAUUCACUUUAUUUUCUUGAUAAAGUAGAAUGAAGCAGUGUAGGCUACAAGAUUUAUUUGAAGUUUAGUGUGACUAGGCACCAUGCAGAAAGUUGUGAAAUUGUGGACAAACAUGCAGAAUCUCAAGAUUUUUGGGUUUCGUGUUGAGCCUUUCUGUAUUGAAUAUUGAUUUGUAUGCAGAUAAGGAAGACUCGGCAACCACCGAAGUUAGGGGCACAUAUUUGUACUUUGGCUUGUUUGAUGGCCUUCCAGAAUUCCACAAUGUCUGCCAGUCAGAACCUUUGAUAACUCUGUCAGCAACAGGUUCAUUGGGAACAGUGGCGGCCCUUUCUUAAACGUCCAGAAUGUGGCUCCACAUUCUGGGUCAGAGUUGUGCUGGGCAUUCAAGUUUCUCAGUGAUGUAGGCUAAUAACAUGAAGUGAGCGCACAAGUGUGCUUAGCCUCCUUCUAGUGCAUUGUACAGUUUGAGCCCUUCUCACAGCGAGGCUUUUGUCUGCUACAAAGCUGUUAAUAAUGGGCACAGGCAAAGUGUUUCUGGUAACAGUCCACUGCCUUCAGCCAAGGUCCCAGGAGGGUGAUCACAUUAUAAACAAUAAGGAUAGUACAAAACAGAAGAAGGCAUUUUUAGGCUCUGAUAAUUCAAUAUAGGCACUAAUAUUGAAAUAGGCUUUAAGAGGCACAAUAAAAGUGUCGCUGAAAUGUUUCUGGGCCCAUAGUUCAUGCUUAUAUGGUAAAUAGGCAUGAUAAGGACGUAAGGGAAAAAUAAGCAUAUUGCCUAAAGUUCUGGUCUCCGUUUAUUGCACUUGGACUUUAUUAAUAAAGGGAAAUGAGACAUCCACCCAAUCGUCCUGGAAAGGCGGUGGUCCCGGGUUCUAGUCCCGGACCAGGACGAAUUUUUCCUAAACUGCGAGGCUUUUCUUUCGAGGAACCCAGAUGGGUUUCCUUUGUAGCAAUUGCUACGAUUGGGUGGAUGUCUCAUUUCCCUUUAUUAGUUACUUCCCUCCACCUUGCGGGUUUCCGCAGAACUAUUACGUCAAACACUUGCACUUUAUAUGGAGCAUGUUGGUGAGAGGGCUUUGCACUUAGCACUAGUACCGCUACUCGUGUGUAUCAGGCGCUGCUCCAUUUUGACGGCCACUCUCUGCCGGGGCGCAUGUGAUUUGAAAGAUGCGUUCACAAGUAGCUGCAUGUAAUUCAGCCAUUUGACCAGCUGUGGGUUUAGCGUAUGUAUAUAUAUUAACCCCUUCGCUUCUGCCCGUGUGGUUCUUUGCCACACCUGGUGGUCCGCAGCACAUUUACCUGCUUCAUCGAGCAUGUACCACAUUGUAAGAAAAUUGCUCUAAAAUCUGCUACAGCAUUUACAAAAUGUCUUAUUUAUUUUGUUCACAAAAGGCUUCCGCAUCAGAUGCAGUGAAAAAAAAAAAAUCAAGAAAAAUUUCAAGCGUGCUGAAACGUGAUGUGCACUUUUGAGUUUCUUGCACCCAGAACGCCUCUUAGACUUUGGAACUUGGCCUUCGAAAGCAUUCAAUAGUUCUGCUUUGCAGUUUUCAGUGGUAUGUGCUGAAAGAAAUGCAUCCGCUCGGAAGCCUUUCCGCUUUCUUCAAGUGAGGUACUCUGGUUACAACGGCUACCGCAACAGAAUGGAGUAAGGCGAGCCGGAAGCUUUGCAUUGUUUUACAGAAUACUCCUGCUGAAAGUGUAGACAAGUAGGACGAUCCAGUGCGCGAAGCCCAAUACAAGUAGACAAUAACCUGCAAUGUGCUGCCAUCUAUAAAAAAUAGCCAGAAUCAGCCGUUCUUUGAGCGACUGAUCGUGCACUGGUCACUUCAACGUUGGCCUUGGCAAUCGUGGCUGGUGUAUCAGCGGUUGUAGAAGUGAAUGGGUUAAUGUUUUUUAUUAACGUUUGCUGACAAAAAUAUUGCAUAAG
rnacentral:lncRNA from 1 species